rnacentral:rRNA from 1 species
AAUCCAUAGGUUAAUGAGGCGAACCGGGGGAACUGAAACAUCUAAGUACCCCGAGGAAAAGAAAUCAACCGAGAUUCCCCCAGUAGCGGCGAGCGAACGGGGAGGAGCCCAGAGCCUGAAUCAGCAUGUGUGUUAGUGGAAGCGUCUGGAAAGGCGCGCGAUACAGGGUGACAGCCCCGUACACAAAAGCGCAUGUGCUGUGAGCUCGAUGAGUAGGGCGGGACACGUGGUAUCCUGUCUGAAUAUGGGGGGACCAUCCUCCAAGGCUAAAUACUCCUGACUGACCGAUAGUGAACCAGUACCGUGAGGGAAAGGCGAAAAGAACCCCGGCGAGGGGAGUGAAAAAGAACCUGAAACCGUGUACGUACAAGCAGUGGGAGCACAGGUUUACCUGUGUGACUGCGUACCUUUUGUAUAAUGGGUCAGCGACUUAUAUUCUGUAGCAAGGUUAACCGUAUAGGGGAGCCGGAGGGAAACCGAGUCUUAAUUGGGCGUUAAGUUGCAGGGUAUAGACCCGAAACCCGGUGAUCUAGCCAUGGGCAGGUUGAAGGUUGGGUAACACUAACUGGAGGACCGAACCGACUAAUGUUGAAAAAUUAGCGGAUGACCUGUGGCUGGGGGUGAAAGGCCAAUCAAACCGGGAGAUAGCUGGUUCUCCCCGAAAGCUAUUUAGGUAGCGCCUCGUGAAUUCAUCUCCGGGGGUAGAGCACUGUUUCGGCUAGGGGGCCAUCCCGGCUUACCAACCCGAUGCAAACUGCGAAUACCGGAGAAUGUUAUCACGGGAGACACACGGCGGGUGCUAACGUCCGUCGUGAAGAGGGAAACAACCCAGACCGCCAGCUAAGGUCCCAAAGUCAUGGUUAAGUGGGAAACGAUGUGGGAAGGCCCAGACAGCCAGGAUGUUGGCUUAGAAGCAGCCAUCAUUUAAAGAAAGCGUAAUAGCUCACUGGUCGAGUCGGCCUGCGCGGAAGAUGUAACGGGGCUAAACCAUGCACCGAAGCUGCGGCAGCGAACGUAUCACCCAAGACAACUUUACGGAGUUGACGAUUGACGGAGCGAAGCGACGUCAAAGCGUUCAUUAAAGUCGAGUUGGCUUAGGGAUACGUUCGUUGGGUAGGGGAGCGUUCUGUAAGCCUGUGAAGGUGUGUCGUGAGGCAUGCUGGAGGUAUCAGAAGUGCGAAUGCUGACAUAAGUAACGAUAAAGCGGGUGAAAAGCCCGCUCGCCGGAAGACCAAGGGUUCCUGUCCAACGUUAAUCGGGGCAGG